GACGAACGCUGGCGGCGUGCCUAAUACAUGCAAGUUGAGCGCUGAAGGUUGGUACUUGUACCUACUGGAUGAGCAGCGAACGGGUGAGUAACGCGUGGGGAAUCUGCCUUUGAGCGGGGGACAACAUUUGGAAACGAAUGCUAAUACCGCAUAAAAACUUUAAACACAAGUUUUAAGUUUGAAAGAUGCAAUUGCAUCACUCAAAGAUGAUCCCGCGUUGUAUUAGCUAGUUGGUGAGGUAAAGGCUCACCAAGGCGAUGAUACAUAGCCGACCUGAGAGGGUGAUCGGCCACAUUGGGACUGAGACACGGCCCAAACUCCUACGGGAGGCAGCAGGAGGGAAUCUUCGGCAAUGGACGAAAGUCUGACCGAGCAACGCCGCGGGAGUGAAGAAGGUUUUCGGAUCGUAAAACUCUGUUGGUAGAGAAGAACGUUGGUGAGAGUGGAAAGCUCAUCAAGUGACGGUAACUACCCAGAAAGGGACGGCUAACUACGUG
rnacentral:rRNA from 1 species